AAAAUACCCCAAGAGUAGCCUCCAGUGCAAUCUGUCAAAACUUGUGCAAAUAAUAGAAGAAGAAAAUCAAAAUUAAUUUUCAAUGUGCUAAAAUGAUAAAAAUAAAUGUCUAUAUUUCUACACUAUUUAUUCUCUUAUCGUUGAUUGUUGCAUCCAAAGCUUAUUCAAAUUACGAGGUGAAAAUAACAUCAAACACACCUGCAGUUCUGGGCUCUCAGGUGACAUUCCGUGCUGAAUUGUAUACAGAUGGGAAGCUCGUAGAUGAUGAAUACAAAUUCUACUGGGAGGAUAAUGCAAUUCCCAGUCAUAGAUCUCAUGGUCAAAAAACAUCCAAACCAACCUCAGAAUGGACAUUGAGCUAUCCUAGUGAUUUAUAUCCUUCCGGGACGUAUGAAGUUCAAGUUUCAGUGCAAAAAUGGGAGAUUGUUUUCUACAUUGAAAUUGCCUCUGCCAGGAUAGAAUUCAACCUCACAACUUUGCUCAAUGGAGAGUUGGAGCUAUCCCAAAAUGGAACAUUGCGCGAAAAUGAGUACGUUGCAAGUGAUACGUUGGUGGAUCAUACGAUAAAGUUUAAGGAGAGUGAUAUGGAAUUGUUGAAGAAUAAUGCAACAUAUGUUCAAACAUUCUGGUUUAUUGAUUGCGUCUACGUUGGCUUUACGGAGAACUACACGCUUUUCAAUCAAUACAAAAAUGAAAAUCAAAAAUAUAACAUUGAAACCCUUGUUGUUGCUUCGUAUGAUAAAAUUCCCGAACCUACGACAACAACAACCACCACCACAACUACUACCACAACUACUACUACGACCACAACAACCACAACUUCAACUACUACGACUCCUACUACGACAACUCCCACUACAACAACCCCUACUACCACAACUCCUACCACUACGACACCAACAACAACAACAACCCCUACUACCACGACAACCCCCACAACAACAACAACAACAACCACAGAAAAGAGCAUUUCCAAGAGGGAGGCGCCGGAAGAUUUAGAGAUUGAACCAAAUGGAGAGAAGAUUUCGCCAGAGAACGCCACGGAUUUCCUAGGAACGGAAAUUUCAGUCAAAGAGGAGAAGAAGUAUACAAUUGAUCAACCAUUUGUGUGCUUUAAUCAGUCUACUGUAGCUCCGGAUCCCAAGAAAACGUAUGGAUACUUCAAACGAACAGUUGUGGUCAAACAUUCAAUUAAAAAUGUAACCAUUACUGGCAACAAUUGGCUUCAUCACGGAGAUUUACUCUCGCUUAAAGUAAAAUGUUCCGGUUCGCCACCUUUUAAGCAUUGCCUUAAAGUUCACAAUGGUCCCUACAAUGUCACGGGAAAUGAGACAUGCAUCGCUUGGUUGCCAACGGACACGUGUGAGUUCGAUGCAACGCAUUACUUCCAAUUGGCACAGCAAUACACGCUCGUUGUGAUCAUCAAGAAUGAUGUCACGAAGACGGUUAAUCCAGUUGCUGUGAAUAUUUAUGAAGUGAAGAAGCAGUCUCAACUUUCUGUGAUCGUUGUGCCAGUGGCAUUCACCCUCCUUGCUGUGAUUGCGGUCAUUUUCGGCGUAGCAUAUUACAUACAGAAUAAAAAGAGAUCAAUUGUCGAAGUGGCUGAUUUCAACUUUGGGGACACUCAAUCAGUCGAUAUGGAGUACAAGACCUUCCAUCAGAGACUCAUUGAUAGUGUCCGACAAGCCUUCAGGGAGAACUCUCCAAAUCCCGGUCCGUCCCAUUUAACAGGUGACUCAUCCCUCGCAUAUGGAUCAAUGACAUAAAAAACAAACAACAACCUGAGAGGGAUCUAUGCUGAAACCUGUUGAUAUUAAAAUUACGAUAAUUUGGGAUAAAAAAAAGGAGGUGAGUAUUAAAUUCACAAGGAAAUAUCUGGAAAUCUCUCAUCAACAUCAAUGGAUCAACUGACUUUAUAUCCUGCAACAACAAUCUAUUUAAUUCUAGAGGAAUUAGAGGAAACCUAAAUCAUAAAAUCAUCGUGAAGAGAUCUGCAAGACACAGAGAGACGAAGCCUUGUUUAAGCCAUAUAAAAUUAAUUAGGUAACAAAAAAAAAAUUAGAGAUCUUAAUAAAAAGUAAAUUUUCAUCCAUAAAAUACAAAAUCAAUAUCACCAAAAAUUUGUUAAUUCUGGUCCUAUCACAAGAAAAAAGUUGAAGAAAAAAAUAGAAUAAGCUGAUCAUGUUUAAUCUAACUUUGCAUAAAGCGGAAUUAAGUAUAAAAAGAAAAAAAUCUUUAAUGGCAUUUUCCUGGAUAAUAACUUUGGAGCUUACAAUUUGCACCGAGGUCAUAAUCUCUGUAGUGAAAAAGAAAGUCAAACCUUAAUACCCUUAAUAGAUAUCUGAGUGAAUAUGGUGGAGAUAGGUGAUUAAUGAGAAUAUUAAAUCUUAUUAAAGAGAAUGUACUUUGUAA